AGCGAACGUUUGCGGCGGGCUUAACACAUGCAAGUCGAACGGGCUGUUCCUUCGGGGGCGAGUCAGUGGCGCACGGGUGCGGUAACACGUAGGUAAUCAACCCUCUGGUUGGGGAUAACGACUUCGAAAGGAGUGCUAAUACCCGGUAUGGCGCAGCGGUCUUCGGGAUCGCGGGCGAGAAAGACCCGCAAGGGUUGCCAGAGGACGAGCCUGCGGCCCAUCAGCUAGUUGGGCGAGGUAACGGCUCACCAAGGCGAAGACGGGUAGCUGGUCUGAGAGGAUGAUCAGCCACACUGGAACUGAGACACGGUCCAGACUCCUACGGGAGGUCAGCAGGUGGGGAAUAUUGCGCAAU
rnacentral:rRNA from 1 species